UACGAAGGGGGCUAGGCGUUGUUCGGAAUUACUGGGCGUAAAGCGCACGUAGGCGGAUAUUUAAGUCAGGGGUGAAAUCCCGGGGCUCACCUCGGAACUGCCUUUGAUACUGGGUAUCUUGAGUAUGGAAGAGGUAAGUGGAAUUGCGAGUGUAGAGGUGAAAUUCGUAGAUAUUCGCAGGAACACCAGUGGCGAAGGCGGCUUACUGGUCCAUUACUGACGCUGAGGCACGAAAGCUAGGGGAGCAAACAGG
rnacentral:rRNA from 1 species